rnacentral:rRNA from 1 species
UCCGAGAUGGGUACGGGUGCUUUUUGUUUUGGUUUCGUGGGGUUUCGAAAGUUUACAGCCUUCGGAUUUUCGAGAUUGGGCUCUUCUGGUGUACUUUCUCGUACGGUUAGUCAACAUCGGUUUUGAAUGUCAUAAAAUGACUGGAGGAAUGUGGCUUCGAUCUCGUAUUGAAGUGUUAUAGCCUUUGGUAGAUGUGAUGUUUGAGAUCGAGGAUUGCAACGGAUACCCUUCUGGGCUAUUCGUCUGAUCUCUGAAACGUUGCCUUGAUGUCGAAAGCUUGCUUAUGAUGUUAGGGUAUUACGGUCAAAAGGUUAGAACGGAUUAAAUUCGUUAAGAGGUUGGACGUAACUUCAAUCGUUUUCUCUUUCAAAAGCUUUCGACUUCGGGGCCACUUUUCAAAGAUAACACGAACCGCCAAGGAAGGGUAUCCGUUGCAGUCCUCGAUCUCAAACAUCACAGCUCUAAAGGCUAUUACACUUCGUACCAGCUCGAACCCUCAUUCCUCCGUCAUUUCAAGACAUUCAAAACCGAUAUAGACUAACCCUACGAGAAAGUACACCAUACGAGCCCAAUCUAGAAUGUCGCGAACGCUUUCCACACUCUACGAAACCCACGACACCUAACUCAGAGAUUUGAUCUCCCCCUUCUUAUAGGCAGACUUCAUCGUUUCCCUAUCAAGUGC